rnacentral:tRNA from 1 species
GCGGAUGUAGCCAAGUGGAUCAAGGCAGUGGAUUGUGAAUCCACCAUGCGCGGGUUCAA